UGAUCCGGAUAUCCGUUUGUAGCGACCAGAGCGCCAUCUGGUGCGCACACCUAGAACUACAGACAGAAAAUGUUUAACGGGCUAGUUAGGCAGGGACUGCACACAAAGCUAGAGCAGGACAAACAGUGGUAGCAUGCUGCACCGCAGCUAUAAAAACGGUGGCUUGCUCCAUACACGCUCUCUCGUCCUAAACGUUUCCACAUCGACACGCGCAUAUCCGUCCGGCUUACCCAACACUUCUUCUCCGGCAACUCUCGAACGAACAACACUAAUUUUCGCGUCUCUCCCGAACUCACCGUUCCGCGGCUUAAAAGAAAAAAAUAAAUCGAAUUCUACCAAAAACGUAGUUCGCAAAGCGUGUUGCGUGUCUCUUUAAAAAAUUAGGGACCACUUUUGUGGCGCCCCUAAAACUGGUGACCCCGACGUGAUCCGCAACCGACGCCGCGAAUUCGUACGUGAGUGGGUGUGUGUACAACGCAUCGCAAACUUGUACCGCGUUGAACGUGUUAAAACGUGCCACCGGCAUCGGAGAUCGACGCAGAGAAGACAACGCGUGUGUGUGUGUGCCUACGACCGGGAGUGCUACCAGCGUUAGAGGUACCGGCAACGCGGCUGGCCUCCUCCCCCCUUUCCCUGCAAAGUGCGCAACGAGCGCCCUUUCAUCAUUCACAGGACGUUGAGUGCGGGCCGACGAAAAAACGCAGCAACGCCGUGUUAGUGCGCCCGUAGCUACACGGAGCGUUCCUGCAUUCAGCGAACAAAAGAACCCCCCGCACACACGCGCGCCGCCUCGAAGCGAGACAAGCGCACACACACCAUCAUCGGCGCAGCAGAAAUUUUCCACCGAGCUUUCGACAGCUGACGCAAUCGACGCAAUUCCUGGAAGCGGAUCGACGACAAUCUCCGCUGGUGGUCUCCUCGACGCCGAUCACCGCCUCGCAAGCUGUUCCUACACCUCGUGCUACUGGGAAUUUUCCGUUUGUGUGCGCUUCCAUCUACGAGUGCGAACAAGAAGGAAGACACCUACGUCGAGUUGCGCACGCAAAUUAUCCAGCCGUAGCAGUAGUGACACAUCGCCGCCAUCACGAUUUUUUUCGCUCAAAGGCGAACCCGCUUGGAUCCAGCCGACAAGAAAGACGACGCCGCCAUUUUGUCUACACAAUUCCGCCGUAUGUGUGAAGACACCAUUUGCUGCUCGCGAAAAAGGACGACGCACACCAUCAUGCGAACCGACGCACUUCAUCGUUCUCACCUCUACCCGUGCAUGAACGUGGAGAGAACCAGGAGUGUUUGCAUCAUCAUCACCGUUUAACACCACAGACGAGAGAGCCGCUGCCGCCAUCAUCGUGUUCGCGUGGAUCUACCCGACCGGGAGGGCCGCUGACAGCAGGCCCCGCGAAGACGCCACUACGCAUGCCGUCACCACGACAACGAUCAUACGUCAUCAUCAUCGUGCUAUUAAGGUAAGAUCCACCCUUUUACGACUAACUGCGAACAUUCUGCAGCGAUAAAAAAAUUAUGUGCUACCCCAACGGGAAAACCGCCGCCGACCGCCGACCAUGCGGUACCUCGCAAUCGACUGAUAACCGACCUCGCAUCCGGACCGCCGAAGACGACUACCUUCCAGUCCGCGCCAGGCACUCAAGCUUUCUAUUAGCUUUCGAACAACCUACCGACCACUACCUAUUCGGUCAGGAGGCGUUAACUGCCGGUCUCUUUGCUCGUGCCACCAUGGACCGCAACGAGGCAGUACGCAAUCGACUUCCUCACCACGAACCAUCGAAAACUCUCGACGAUUAGUAUCAACGGAAAAUGAUCGCCUUGCCACGUUUCUUCGUCGCUACCGAUGCCGACACCUAAGCGAUUAAUCGAAUCGAUACCGAAUCUGCCGCACAGCGGCCCGACCGAAAACGCUACACGUUACGUAUGCCGACCUCGAAGCAAAAUCCCCACAUCGACCGCUACUCGAACCCUAAAGCGAGAUACUUCGCCCAACCGAUGACACUACGAUUCGUUUGGCAGGACCGUAAGGGGGAACAGGAUUCGUCUGCUUUCCUGCUUAUCCACUUGCCCAGACAUCAUCGGGUACUUUUUCGCUCAGCCAGGGUAACCGCUACCGACCAGCACCAAUCUGCUUACCUGCUGACCCGAACGAUAUCAAACCGAAACGUAUCGACACUUGUUUCAACGUUCCUACAGGACACCGUCUGGUACUUUGACCGAUUGGAACAGUUGCUCGCCCAUAGCAACAUACCAUUCGACCGUCGCCGCAACAAACGUAUCACGCUUCAUACCAAGCACUUACACAAAUUUUCGAAGUCGUUUCAGAUCUUUGUAACGGACAGCUACGCUAAUCUCCGUCAACCGCCUGAAACCAACCCAAGCAACGAACGACCACGACCAUAUCGGCCUCGUGACACCGUCACUCGAUCGCCCGCCGAUGACCGGACGCGCACAUAACUCCGAUGUUCCAACUGCCAUCGCCCGAACAACCGUUGACGAGCCGGCAAAACACGACUUCGAUGUCUCCGCCGUCGACACCGACCUGAACGCCGAAAGCCCGAAAGUGCACUUAAUCGAUUUCGCAUGCACCGUCGCUACCUGCAGCUACGUCGACCGCCAGCAGCAUCGACCGCCAGCUGCACCAACCGCCAGCUGCACCCCACCACCACCUAUCCUACGACAUAUGGAAUCGAUCGUAUCGACCGGUGUUACCAGGGCUCAACGGAAACUCGCCUUCCUCUACGAUACCAGUAACACCGCUCUAGGAGGGGGAAUCCUGUAGCGACCAGAGCGCCAUCUGGUGCGCACACCUAGAACUACAGACAGAAAAUGUUUAACGGGCUAGUUAGGCAGGGACUGCACACAAAGCUAGAGCAGGACAAACAGUGGUAGCAUGCUGCACCGCAGCUAUAAAAACGGUGGCUUGCUCCAUACACGCUCUCUCUCGUCCUAAACGUUUCCACAUCGACACGCGCAUAUCCGUCCGGCUUACCCAACACUUCUUCUCCGGCAACUCUCGAACGAACAACACUAAUUUUCGCGUCUCUCCCGAACUCACCGUUCCGCGGCUUAAAAGAAAAAAAUAAAUCGAAUUCUACCAAAAACGUAGUUCGCAAAGCGUGUUGCGUGUCUCUUUAAAAAAUUAGGGACCACUUUUGUGGCGCCCCUAAAACUGGUGACCCCGACGUGAUCCGCAACCGACGCCGCGAAUUCGUACGUGAGUGGGUGUGUGUACAACGCAUCGCAAACUUGUACCGCGUUGAACGUGUUAAAACGUGCCACCGGCAUCGGAGAUCGACGCAGAGAAGACAACGCGUGUGUGUGUGUGCCUACGACCGGGAGUGCUACCAGCGUUAGAGGACGUUGAGUGCGGGCCGACGAAAAAACGCAGCAACGCCGUGUUAGUGCGCCCGUAGCUACACGGAGCGUUCCUGCAUUCAGCGAACAAAAGAACCCCCCGCACACACGCGCGCCGCCUCGAAGCGAGACAAGCGCACACACACCAUCAUCGGCGCAGCAGAAAUUUUCCACCGAGCUUUCGACAGCUGACGCAAUCGACGCAAUUCCUGGAAGCGGAUCGACGACAAUCUCCGCUGGUGGUCUCCUCGACGCCGAUCACCGCCUCGCAAGCUGUUCCUACACCUCGUGCUACUGGGAAUUUUCCGUUUGUGUGCGCUUCCAUCUACGAGUGCGAACAAGAAGGAAGACACCUACGUCGAGUUGCGCACGCAAAUUAUCCAGCCGUAGCAGUAGUGACACAUCGCCGCCAUCACGAUUUUUUCGCUCAAAGGCGAACCCGCUUGGAUCCAGCCGACAAGAAAGACGACGCCGCCAUUUUGUCUACACAAUUCCGCCGUAUGUGUGAAGACACCAUUUGCUGCUCGCGAAAAAGGACGACGCACACCAUCAUGCGAACCGACGCACUUCAUCGUUCUCACCUCUACCCGUGCAUGAACGUGGAGAGAACCAGGAGUGUUUGCAUCAUCAUCACCGUUUAACACCACAGACGAGAGAGCCGCUGCCGCCAUCAUCGUGUUCGCGUGGAUCUACCCGACCGGGAGGGCCGCUGACAGCAGGCCCCGCGAAGACGCCACUACGCAUGCCGUCACCACGACAACGAUCAUACGUCAUCAUCAUCGUGCUAUUAAGGUAAGAUCCACCCUUUUACGACUAACUGCGAACAUUCUGCAGCGAUAAAAAAAUUAUGUGCUACCCCAACGGGAAAACCGCCGCCGACCGCCGACCAUGCGGUACCUCGCAAUCGACUGAUAACCGACCUCGCAUCCGGACCGCCGAAGACGACUACCUUCCAGUCCGCGCCAGGCACUCAAGCUUUCUAUUAGCUUUCGAACAACCUACCGACCACUACCUAUUCGGUCAGGAGGCGUUAACUGCCGGUCUCUUUGCUCGUGCCACCAUGGACCGCAACGAGGCAGUACGCAAUCGACUUCCUCACCACGAACCAUCGAAAACUCUCGACGAUUAGUAUCAACGGAAAAUGAUCGCCUUGCCACGUUUCUUCGUCGCUACCGAUGCCGACACCUAAGCGAUUAAUCGAAUCGAUACCGAAUCUGCCGCACAGCGGCCCGACCGAAAACGCUACACGUUACGUAUGCCGACCUCGAAGCAAAAUCCCCACAUCGACCGCUACUCGAACCCUAAAGCGAGAUACUUCGCCCAACCGAUGACACUACGAUUCGUUUGGCAGGACCGUAAGGGGGAACAGGAUUCGUCUGCUUUCCUGCUUAUCCACUUGCCCAGACAUCAUCGGGUACUUUUUCGCUCAGCCAGGGUAACCGCUACCGACCAGCACCAAUCUGCUUACCUGCUGACCCGAACGAUAUCAAACCGAAACGUAUCGACACUUGUUUCAACGUUCCUACAGGACACCGUCUGGUACUUUGACCGAUUGGAACAGUUGCUCGCCCAUAGCAACAUACCAUUCGACCGUCGCCGCAACAAACGUAUCACGCUUCAUACCAAGCACUUACACAAAUUUUCGAAGUCGUUUCAGAUCUUUGUAACGGACAGCUACGCUAAUCUCCGUCAACCGCCUGAAACCAACCCAAGCAACGAACGACCACGACCAUAUCGGCCUCGUGACACCGUCACUCGAUCGCCCGCCGAUGACCGGACGCGCACAUAACUCCGAUGUUCCAACUGCCAUCGCCCGAACAACCGUUGACGAGCCGGCAAAACACGACUUCGAUGUCUCCGCCGUCGACACCGACCUGAACGCCGAAAGCCCGAAAGUGCACUUAAUCGAUUUCGCAUGCACCGUCGCUACCUGCAGCUACGUCGACCGCCAGCAGCAUCGACCGCCAGCUGCACCAACCGCCAGCUGCACCCCACCACCACCUAUCCUACGACAUAUGGAAUCGAUCGUAUCGACCGGUGUUACCAGGGCUCAACGGAAACUCGCCUUCCUCUACGAUACCAGUAACACCGCUCUAGGAGGGGGAAUCCUGUAGCGACCAGAGCGCCAUCUGGUGCGCACACCUAGAACUACAGACAGAAAAUGUUUAACGGGCUAGUUAGGCAGGGACUGCACACAAAGCUAGAGCAGGACAAACAGUGGUAGCAUGCUGCACCGCAGCUAUAAAAACGGUGGCUUGCUCCAUACACGCUCUCUCUCGUCCUAAACGUUUCCACAUCGACACGCGCAUAUCCGUCCGGCUUACCCAACACUUCUUCUCCGGCAACUCUCGAACGAACAACACUAAUUUUCGCGUCUCUCCCGAACUCACCGUUCCGCGGCUUAAAAGAAAAAAAUAAAUCGAAUUCUACCAAAAACGUA